GGGGAGCAUCGCGGCGGCUCCGAGCGGCCCUGUGUCCCCGCCAAACCGCUCCCCCGCGGCCGGACAGUCCUCGGCGGCAGGGCUCGUCCGGCUCCCGGCCCUCGCGCACCUGAGUUCCGCUGGUGGCGCUGGGCUCUCAGGACGUCUAGGAGACUUCCCAUGUGAUAAAGACGGUACAACUAGCAGGACACAUGGAAAAGAUAAAGCUGCCCUCCGAUCGCCUUUCAGGCACGCCAACACACACACAUCAGUUUGAUCAAAGAUUUCAAAAUGUAAAGGGACGCUCCUCCCUUUAAAAAAAGAAAAGGUGAGCAGAUGGGAGAAUUUUUAAAUGCUUGAAGAAGGCCUUUCUACACUGUGGACAAAAAGGGGCCACAUGCUAACCUGACUAACGCAGGGAAGGACUGCCUGGCAAACUAAACUCAGGCACCUAAAAGGCUGUCUGAAAUUAAAACCUUUUCAAUUAAAAAGCAGUUUAUAGCCCUAGCUUGGCUCAGUGGAUGGAGCGUCAGCCUGCGGACUGAAGGGUCCCGGGUUCGAUUCUGGCGAGGGGCACAUGGCUGGGUUGAGGGCUCGGUCCCCAGUGGGGGGUGUGCGGGAGACGGCCAAUCGGUGAUUCUCUCUCAUCAUUGAUGUUUCUAUCUCUGUCUCCUCCCUUCCUCUCUGAAAUCAAUAAAGAAAUAUAUUUAAAAAAAUAAAAAGCAAUUUAUAGUAGAUAGUAGUGUCCUGGGCCAGUAUCUUCCCUGACAAAGACCAACUCUGAUAUUAACCGAGCCUAUUGUCUUGAUCAUUUCCAUAAAUAAUUGAGAGUAAUAAGAUUAAUGCACAUGCUUUGGAGAAAAAUUUGAAUAUAUCUGUCAGUGUUUUCAAUGCACAUGCCCUUUGACUAUCAAAGAAACACCGGGACAUCAUCAAAUAGAUACACGUACAUAAGUGCAAAAAUAUGAGCCCACAUAUUCCUUGCAGCAUGGCUUGUAAUGAUGACAAACUAGACACAGUCUGAAUGUUGGUCAAUAGAGGAGUGAUUAAAUAAGUUAUGAUACAUGUGAUGGUAGGAAGAAUAAUGACUCCCGAAAAAUGACCACAUCCUAAUCUCUGAAACCUGAAAGCGAGUUACCUUAUGUAGCAAAAGGAACUUUGCAGAUGUGAUUAAAUUAAAGAUCUUGAAAUGGGAAGAUUAUUUUAGAUUAUGCAAGUGUGCCAAACGUAACUACAUGUACAAGAGUCUAUAUAAGGGAGACAGGAGACCAGAGGAAAAGGCAAUUAUGAUACCUAAAGCGGAGAUUGGAGUGAUUUGGCACCACAAGCCAAGGAAUUCAUACAAGCUCUAGAACAGGGGUCCUCAAACUUUUUAAACAAGGGGUCAGUUCACUGUCCCUCAGACCGUUGGAGGGCCAGACUAUAGUUUUAAAAAAAAAAACGAUGAACAAAUUCCUAUGCACACUGCACAUAUCUUAUUUUGAAGUAAAAAAACAAAAUGGGAACAAAUACAAUAUUUGUAUUUGCCUGUGGCCCGCGGGCCGUAGUUUGAGGACCCCUGCUCUAGAAGCUAGAAAAGGCCACCAAUGGAUCUUCUGAUCCUUCAGAAGAAACACAGCCCUGCCUACCCAUUUCAAAUGUCUGUAAUAUAAUAACUGUGUUGCUUUAAGUCACUACAUUUGUGAUAAUUUGUUACCGCAGCAAUAGCAAACUAACACCUGUAUCAGAAGACUAUACAACUAUUAAAAAGAAUGAAUUAGAAUAUGUGCACAUAUAGAAAGAUAAUCCAAUAUUUGUUUUUGUCCCAAAGGAGCUGACAACACAACUGAAGAGAGAAAGCAUGCACAUGGGGAAGGGCAGAAUGUGAUGACUGCUAAGAAAGUACUGUGGACAGCUAGGGUGAUCUUAGGAAUCUUAUUACUGGCCUCUUGAACUUUACCAUCUAUGAGCAUAAUCUGAGGACAUUAGACUCUGCAAGUUGGUCUAUUAACUACCAACAGCAAUAACAAUACCAAUAUAGCAUUUGUA